AGUGAACGCUGGCGGUAGGCCUAACACGUGCAAGUCGAACGGCAGCACAGUAAGAGCUUGCUCUUACGGGUGGCGAGUGGCGGACGGGUGAGGAAUACAUCGGAAUCUACUUUUUCGUGGGGGAUAACGUAGGGAAACUUACGCUAAUACCGCAUACGACCUACGGGUGAAAGCAGGGGAUCUUCGGACCUUGCGCGAUUGAAUGAGCCGAUGUCGGAUUAGCUAGUUGGCGGGGUAAAGGCCCACCAAGGCGACGAUCCGUAGCUGGUCUGAGAGGAUGAUCAGCCACACUGGAACUGAGACACGGUCCAGACUCCUACGGGAGGCAGCAGUGGGGAAUAUUGGACAAUGGGCGCAAGCCUGAUCCAGCCAUACCGCGUGGGUGAAGAAGGCCUUCGGGUUGUAAAGCCCUUUUGUUGGGAAAGAAAAGCAGCAGGUUAAUACCCCGCUGUUCUGACGGUGCCCAAAGAAUAAGCACCGGCUAACUUCGUG
rnacentral:rRNA from 1 species